CCUAGGCCAGUCUGAACUACAUAGGGAGACCCUGUCUCAAAAACACCAAAAAAAACAACAAAAAGAGUUGGCAUCUAAUUCAAUUCCAAAAUCCUGGCUGUGGCGUCAGGGCGAGGCUGGUGACUGACCAAGGGUGUGGGAGAACACACACACACACACACACACACACACACACACACAAACAUGCACGCGGGCAUACACACGUACAUACACGCAGGCUUAGGGUGGGUGUUAGUCACCGUCCAGAUGGCCCGACACUGGGAUGGCCCCAGAACAGACGAGGCGUGCAGAGCAGGAGGAGUUGUCACCAAGGAGACGCUGGUGAAUUCUUUGCCGCCGAAAGCUCUCCACCCUCUGUAGCGUCGUCCGAGCGUCCACCUCCUGACCCGUGUAAGUGGUCGCAGCCCUGUGCCGCUUCGUGUUCGGCUCCAGGCUCGUCAGCUGGGACACUCGCUGCUCCCCCUCAGCCCAGGCACUGCCAUCCCGCUGUCCCUCUGGCCUGACCCACAUGCCUGCAAGUUCCUGGCUGUGUCCUCGGCACCUGAGCUUGCAUGACCCGGCGCCAGGGAGUGAGUGAGACGAAAGGCUUGGGUUUUAGAAGCCCCGUUCCGGGUGUGCGGCAGUGUUCUGUGGCCGUGGGCGGAUGCAGACAGGGUCUCAAUAUGUAUUCCAGGCUGGCCUUGAGCUCACAGUGAUCCUCCUGCCUCAGCCUCCACCGCCGUGCCUGGUGAAAUCUGGAGUUGGACUGUGAAAUCUCUCCCUUGUGACAAAGGCUUGGCUUUGUUUCAGAACGUGCUGUGGGUGACUCAAGGUCACCUGUCAGCCUGAUUGAGCCCCUGGGCCACCACUCCUUGGUCUUGGCAGAGAGAAAAAUUAAAGCUGCUCUCAAGGACCACUGAAAAUGAAAGGUGGUUCCGAAGUGAAUUGAAGGCAGGAUUCUAGGAUGUGACUGUGGACUUCACGUCUCUCUUGGGAACAGGCCGGAUGACACAAUGGUCUCGUGCACUGUGCCCGGAGCGUCGGAGGCUGGGACCGAGGUGCCCGAGGUCCGGCUGUUCCGUCUCGGCGAGCGCCCCCUGGAGCCUGGAGGACCUGGGCGCGUCUCGGCCGGUCCCGUUGUUUCUCAGAGCCGUGGAAAAGAACUAUUAAUUUUUAAAGGAUAAAAAUGAAAUUGUCAGACUAAUGCAUAAACAAUUCUAUAAAAUUCAGAUCAUAGAGCAA